GGAACCUGGGACUUGGAGAGUUGCUCAUGGCCUACUACAAUGUAGGGGCAGACCUGUCAUCUGACUCCUUUCCUGAGUGGUGCGUCCUCUGACACUGGGGCAAGAAGGCAUCGGCACACGGGAGAGACAGGCCAUGACUCUGAGGACUAACCUGUGGUGGGAAGAUGGCAGACUCCAGUGGUCUACAGAUCCUGCUGACUACUGAGCAUCUCAGACCUAUCCUGGUAACCAGGACGACAGAGACCCUUAGACCUCUGCACAGGAUGAUGUUAACAGGAUUUAUUUCAGCCUGCUCUUGAAACUUGCUGUCCUCAUUCAUCCUCAUUAUCUCUCAGUCUUCUGAGUCAUCUCACCUGAAGGUCCUAGAGUUCUGCUUCAUUUCAGGAACUGCGGGCAACCACGUAGAGGAGACUCUCCUGACCUGCCAAGUGGCUCCAGCAAUUGCCAAGUGAUACUUCUGAGCCCUCCCCUCCACAUUGUGUCUGGUUAUGGAGACCGUCCCUGGGGUGUCUGCUGCUGACCAGCUGUAGCCUGAACCCUAUCUCUGGGCUGAGUUGGAAGGACCCACAAGCCUCUGACCUUCACCUUCCCAACAGGGUGAUUUCAAUGGCAAAGCAGUGUUCAUGAGGAAAUAUAAAGAUAUCCAUGGAAUCCAAGAAUGGCGAGCAGACCCUGGGCUGGAUACUGACAGAGCAGGAUAGAACUCUUUAAGUACUUCUAAUGGGAAGAUGGUAGAACAGAAUACCCUUCAGAUGACUCUGCAAGUGAGAAGAGUCAGGGCAACAAAAGGGAAACUAUAUUCCUUGCAGAGAAAGAGAAGAACUCUUGAACCAACAGAAAAGUGACUGGAAACCUUAUUAUCAGUGUGGAGAAGCAAAAUGACAAAUCAGAGCAAAGUACAAAGUAAUUUGGAACUUCAGUCCCUGCUACCCUGUUCAUGGUGGGGAACUGAUCCUGCAAGCAUAAGGUAAGUGGGAGAUGGCAGAAAACCCCAAUGAUGACAGCAAACUGGCAGUCCUAACUGUGGGGCAAAGCCAUGCUUCUUACAAGCUUCCCUCCCCUUCCAUGAAUAAGACUUUUUAUUUGUCCCUAUUAAAAAUCUGAAUU